AGCUUCGUGUUAGGCAAGCAUUGGUUGGAACUGAUCCGUUGUGGUUCUAAGCAACCGCAAUUAUGCAUUUUUCACAGUCCUGUGACAAAAUGCAUGACAGUACAUGUGCCAAAUGUGUGCGUGGAAAACAUGGCGACAGAAAGGAACCACAAUGAGGCAGAUUUGAUUUGAGUUUCAGCGUAAAAGGUGUCGUGAUAAGAUGGAGUUGGUACUCUUUGACGAGACGCAAUGAUAAGGGAUAGAAGAUCAAAACCUUAAUUUCCGCGAUGUAACUUUGAAAUCGCUUGUGAUCGGUGCAAUCUGAUUGGUUGACCGAAGUAGGAUUGAUCACCAUGAUAGUAAUGGUUCCGACUUCUCGUCCACAAAAGUGCUUGAACAUGCGCCAUUUAGAAAUGAUUAUCAGUACCCGAAAGCAGUUCGGGAAGGAAAGAGGAGUGAUCGUAAAAUCACCAGCAAAGGAAAGGUUCGAAAGCAUCGGAAAGACCCUGAAAGUUGACACUGUGUUGGACAUCACUGAAUGUAACUAAUUUAGGCGAUUCGGCCUGGAGAAUGUCUGACUCAAGGAGCACGAAAAGAAUAUUUAACUGGAGUCAGACAAUAAAAGAUGUAUUUUAAGACCUACAACAGACCAAAGCAAGAUCAAUCAGGGAACAACUAGACGAAACAUAAUCAAACUGAAGUGUGUAGGCC